rnacentral:rRNA from 1 species
UACGUAGGUGGCGAGCGUUAUCCGGAUUUAUUGGGUUUAAAGGGAGCGUAGGUGGUAUGGUAAGUCAGUGGUGAAAGUCUGUCGCUUAACGAUAGGAUUGCCAUUGAUACUGCCAAGCUAGAGUACGGUUGAGGUAGGCGGAAUUUAUGGUGUAGCGGUGAAAUGCAUAGAUACCAUAAAGAACUCCGAUUGCGAAGGCAGCUUACUGGACCGAUACUGACACUGAGGCUCGAAAGUGCGGGUAUCAAACAGG